GAUCAGCCACACUGGAACUGACACACGGUCCAGACUCCUACGGGAGGCAGCAGUGAGGAAUUUUGCGCAAUGGGGGGAACCCUGACGCAGCAACGCCGCGUGAGUGAAGAAGGCCUUCGGGUCGUAAAGCUCUGUCGAGUGGGAAGAACCUUCGUAUGUUGAAUAUGCAUACGGACUGACGGUACCACAGAAGGAAGCACCGGCUAACUCCGUGCCAGCAGCCGCGGUAAUACGGAGGGUGCAAGCGUUAUUCGGAAUUAUUGGCGUAAUGAGCGCGUAGGCGGCUUUGCAAGUCAGGUGUGAUAUCCCGGCGCUCAACCCCGGAAGAGCAUUUGAUACUGUGGAGCUUGAGU
rnacentral:rRNA from 1 species